GAGAUUUGGGAGUGCUCGAAAGAGAACCUAGACACAGGUGCUGCAUGGCCGUCGUCAGCUCGUGUCGUGAGAUGUUGGGUUAAGUCCCGCAACGAGCGCAACCCUUGUCAUUAGUUGCUACGAAAGGGCACUCUAAUGAGACUGCCGGUGACAAACCGGAGGAAGGUGGGGAUGACGUCAGGUCAUCAUGGCCCUUAUGGGUAGGGCUACACACGUCAUACAAUGGCCGGUACAGAGGGCUGCCAACCCGCGAGGGGGAGCUAAUCCCAGAAAACCGGUCGUAGUCCGGAUCGUAGUCUGCAACUCGACUGCGUGAAGUCGGAAUCGCUAGUAAUC
rnacentral:rRNA from 1 species